rnacentral:rRNA from 1 species
GUCGAGAAUCAUUGUCAAUGGGCGAAAGCCUGAACGUGCGACGCCGCGUGUGGGAUGAAGGCCUUCGGGUUGUAAACCACUGUCAGGGGGAAGGAAUAAGCGUGUAACCCACGCGAUGACUUAUACCCCAGAGGAAGUGACGGCUAACUACGUGCCAGCAGCUGCGGUAAUACGUAGGUCACGAACGUUAUUCGGAAUCACUGGGCUUAAAGGGCGCGUAGGCGGCUUCGUAAGUUAUGGUUGAAAUCCGGCGGCUCACCCGUCGAACUGGCCAUAAGACUGCGGAGCUUGAGGUGCGGAGGGAUGCGUGGAACUUGUGGUGGAGCGGUGAAAUGCCCAGAUAUCACAGGGAACACCGGUGGCGAAGGCGACGCAUUGGCCGCAAUCUGACGCUGAGGCGCGAAAGCAUGGGGAGCGAACGGGAUUAGAAACCCGAGUAGUCC